rnacentral:rRNA from 1 species
GAUUGCAGGCUGCAACCCGCCUGCAUGAAGUCGGAAUUGCUAGUAAUCGCGGAUCAGCAUGCCGCGGUGAAUACGUUCCCGGGCCUUGUACACACCGCCCGUCACACCAUGGGAGCCGGUAAUACCCGAAGUCAGUAGUCCAACCUCGUGAGGACGCUGCCGAAGGUAGGAUUGGCGACUGGGGUGAAGUCGUAACAAGGUAUC